rnacentral:rRNA from 1 species
UACGGAAGGUGCGAGCGUUAAUCGGAAUUACUGGGCGUAAAGCGCACGUAGGUGGUUUUAUAAGUCGGAUGUGAAAGCCCCGGGCUUAACCUGGGAAUGGCAUUUGGGACUGCAAGGCUUGAGUGCGGCAGAGGAGACUGGAAUUCCUGGUGUAGCAGUGAAAUGCGUAGAUAUCCGGAGGAACACCAGUGGCGAAAGCGGCUUCCUGGACCAAUACUGACGAUCAGGUGCGAAAGCGUGGGGAGCAAACAGG